rnacentral:rRNA from 1 species
UCCCGGAUUUAUUGGGUUUAAAGGGUCCGUAGGCGGAUCUGUAAGUCAGUGGUGGAAUCUCACAGCUUAACUGUGAAACUGCCAUUGAUACUGCAGGUCUUGAGUGUUGUUGAAGUAGCUGGAAUAAGUAGUGUAGCGGUGAAAUGCAUAGAUAUUACUUAGAACACCAAUUGCGAAGGCAGGUUACUAAGCAACAACUGACGCUGAUGGACGAAAGCGUGGGGAGCGAACAGGAUUAGAUACCCUGGUAGUCCACGCCGUAAACGAUGCUAACUCGUUUUUGGUUUUUCGGAAUCAGAGACUAAGCGAAAGUGAUAAGUUAGCCACCUGGGGAGUACGUUCGCAAGAAUGAAACUCAAAGGAAUUGACGGGGGCCCGCACAAGCGGUGGAUUAUGUGGUUUAAUUCGAUGAUACGCGAGGAACCUUACCAAGGCUUAAAUGGGAAAUGACAGGUUUAGAAAUAGACUUUUCUUCGGACAUUUUUCAAGGUGCUGCAUGGUUGUCGUCAGCUCGUGCCGUGGGGUGUUAGGUUAAGUCCUGCAACGAGCGCAACCCCUGUCACUAGUUGCCAUCAUUAAGUUGGGGACUCUAGUGAGACUGCCUACGCAAGUAGAGAGGAAGGUGGGGAUGACGUCAAAUCAUCACGGCCCUUACGCCUUGGGCCACACACGUAAUACAAUGGCCAGUACAGAGGGCAGCUACACAGCGAUGUGAUGCAAAUCUCGAAAGCUGGUCUCAGUUCGGAUUGGAGUCUGCAACUCGACUCUAUGAAGCUGGAAUCGCUAGUAAUCGCGCAUCAGCCAUGGCGCGGUGAAUACGUUCCCGGGCCUUGUACACACCGCCCGUCAAGCCAUGGAAGUCUGGGGUACCUGAAGUCGGUGACCGUAACAGGAGCUGCCUAGGGUAAAACAGGUAACUAGGGCU